CCGGGUUUGUUAUAACAUGAGCAUCGCGACGGGUGCCAAUUGUGAAGUAGGAUCUGUUUACGCAUCCGGAGCGCCUGAAAUCACCCCCAGUUUUUGGUGGGGUUCACUUUGCUUAGUCUUUAGUUUUCUAUGUUGAGCCAUAUGUACUAUUAUUUGUCUGUUUGUUUUUAUUUAUUUUUAGCCAUGGCGUUGUCAUUUUAUUUUUGAUCUAUGAGUUUGACUGUCCUUUAGGUAUUUAUCGCUCCUCUUUUAUAUACAUUAUAUUGCCAAUUGAACUUAGUUUGUUGCAAUUCUGGAUACAGAAUAUCAAGCGUUAUUUUGUUAUUCUUAUGAUUGGUGCAGUAUUUAACGAAGACUGAAGUUGGGAUAUGACAGUUACACAUUUGUAUGUGAUAUUUUAAUUAAAACUAUUCUAUAAACGUCAGACCUAGACAUGUACUUUAGCAACACCUACAUGAACACAGUUCUUUGUAAGUACUUUAAUAAGAUGGUGAGACGUU
rnacentral:lncRNA from 1 species